UAAACUGAUAUCCAAUUUGCUAAUAGCCUA
rnacentral:piRNA from 1 species